CCGGGACAUUUUGAAAAGUAGAGUUUUCAAAAUAGAAAAUCGGAAUCGUUGCCAAGAUGGAAGUUGCUUUGUAGAAGACCGAAAUCCAUCCCUUGAAAUGCCAGCGUAUGAGUAUCUACAUCUGGCGUGCCUCCAAGGCCGGCGAGAAGGGGAGGCAGGGAGGAGGGGUCUGGAGUGCUCAGUGGGGCCCGAAAAUCUCGUUAAAUGUUCAUAUCGUUUAUCAUCGCUUUUUGUUUAUCCUAAAUGAAAUACGCCUACUUGCACACUAUCCGCUGA